rnacentral:rRNA from 1 species
GGCGCGCUUAAUGCAUGCAAGUCGAGCGAUGAGGCCCUCUUCGGGGGGUACAUCAGCGGCAGACGGGUGAGUAACACGUAGGUGAUCUACCCCAGAGACGGGGAUAACGGGUGGAAACAUCCGCUAAUACCGGAUAGGCUUGUUCGGUCAAAGGGACAAGGAAAGGCUCCGGCGCUCUGGGAGGAGCCUGCGGCCCAUCAGCUAGUUGGCGGGGUAACGGCCCACCAAGGCAAAGACGGGUAGGGGGUGUGAGAGCAUGGCCCCCCACAAUGGGACUGGAACACGGCCCAUACUCCUACGGGAGGCAGCAGCAGGGAAUAUUGCACAAUGGACGGAAGUCUGAUGCAGCGACGCCGCGUGGAUGAAGAAGGCCCUCGGGUUGUAAAAUCCUUUACAGGGGGAAGAGGAAGGACGGUACCCCUGGAACAAGUGUCGGCUAACUACGUGCCAGCAGCCGCGGUAAGACGUAGGACACAAGCGUUAUCCGGAUUUACUGGGCGUAAAGCGUCUGCAGGCGGACAGGUAAGUUGGGCGUGAAAGCUCCGGGCCCAACCCGGAGAGGUCGUUCAAUACUGCGUGUCUAGAGGGUGUCAGAGGGGAGUGGAAUUUCCGGAGUAGCGGUAAAAUGCGCAGAGAUCGGAAAGAACACCAAUGGCGAAGGCAGCUCCCUGGGGCAACCCUGACGCUAAGAGACGANAGCUAGGGGAGCGAACCAGGAUUAGAGACCCUGGUAGUC